CCCUUAGAUGUCCGGGGCCGCACGCGCGCUACACUGAAGGAAUCAGCGUGGCUUUCUCCCUGACCCGAAAGGGUUGGGAAACCCGUUGAAUCUCCUUCGUGAUAGGGAUUGGGGCUUGAAAUUGUUCCCCAUGAACGAGGAAUUCCCAGUAAGCGCGAGUCAUAAGCUCGCGUUGAUUACGUCCCUGCCCUUUGUACACACCGCCCGUCGCUACUACCGAUUGAACGGUUUAGUGAGGGCCUCGGAUUGGUCUCGGCCCGCUCUUUACCGGGCGGCGCCGUUGGUCGAGAAGACGCUCGAACUUGAUCGUUUAGAGGAGGUAAAAGUCGUAACA
rnacentral:rRNA from 1 species